rnacentral:rRNA from 1 species
UUGGAGGGCAAGUCUGGUGCCAGCAGCCGCGGUAAUUCCAGCUCCAAUAGCGUAUAUUAGAGUUGUUGCAGUUAAAAAGCUCGUAGUUGAACUUCGGGGUCUACCCAUUGGUCAGGCUUAAUUGUCUGUACUGGUGAGAUGGAUCUCUACCUUCUGAGGAACUUUCAUGCCAUUUAUUUGGUGUGAUGGGAAAUCAGGACUGUUACUUUGAAAAAAUUAGAGUGUUUAAAGCAGACUAUCGUCUGAAUACAUUAGCAUGGAAUAAUGAAAUAGGACGGACUGAUUCUAUUUCGUUGGUUUCUAGGAUCACCGUAAUGAUUAAUAGGGAUAGUUGGGGGCAUUAGUAUUCAAUUGUCAGAGGUGAAAUUCUUGGAUUUAUUGAAGACUAACUACUGCGAAAGCAUUUGCCAAGGAUGUUUUCAUUAAUCAAGAACGAAAGUUAGGGGAUCGAAGACGAUCAGAUACCGUCGUAGUCUUAACCAUAAACUAUGCCGACUAGGGAUCGGACGAAGUUAAUUUUAUAAUGACGCGUUCGGCACCUUACGGGAAACCAAAGUGUUUGGGUUC